GCCUCCGUGGCCCAAUGGAUAAGGCACCGGCCUCCUAAGCCGGGGAUGCGGGUUCGAGUCCCGUCGGAGGUA
rnacentral:tRNA from 1 species